rnacentral:tRNA from 1 species
GGUUUGAAGUUUUGGAAACAAUAGAUUUUGAACAUCUACAAAAACGUUCAACUCGUUCUCAAACCU